rnacentral:rRNA from 1 species
GACGAACGCUGGCGGCGUGCCUAAUACAUGCAAGUAGAACGCUGAAGCUUGGUGCUUGCACCGAGCGGAUGAGUUGCGAACGGGUGAGUAACGCGUAGGUAACCUGCCUGGUAGCGGGGGAUAACUAUUGGAAACGAUAGCUAAUACCGCAUAAAAUGGAUUAUCGCAUGAUAAUCGAUUGAAAGGUGCAAAUGCAUCACUACCAGAUGGACCUGCGUUGUAUUAGCUAGUUGGUGGGGUAACGGCUCACCAAGGCAACGAUACAUAGCCGACCUGAGAGGGUGAUCGGCCACACUGGGACUGAGACACGGCCCAGACUCCUACGGGAGGCAGCAGUAGGGAAUCUUCGGCAAUGGACGGAAGUCUGACCGAGCAACGCCGCGUGAGUGAAGAAGGUUUUCGGAUCGUAAAGCUCUGUUGUAAGAGAAGAAACGAGUGUGAGAAGUGGAAAAGUUCCACCACUGGG